GCCCGGACCCCGCAGACUAUACACUCACCUGCCUACCGGCGCCCGCAACGCGGCCACUGUUGGCUGGAACAGGCCCGUAGGAACAGCCUGCCCGGCUGGGCGGGGCGCACCCCCCCCGCCCCCGACACUGGCGCGGGAGCCGCUGAUUGGCUGUGGUGGGGGCUCUUCCCCGCCCCUAACAGACCUCACCUCCUAGCAGGAGGGGGAAAAGCAGUGCGCACGCACGUCUGGCUGCGGUGCCCGUUCGGAUCUAGCUACGUGAUCCGACGUACGCUGGGGCGGAGCGACUGACUGGCCGCACUGGAUGACGUCACCUGCGGCGAGCCAAAACCUGCGCCUUCGCUGUGGGCACCGUAGGUGCUCUGGGCCCCAGAGCCGAGGCAAACGCGGAAGGUCAGAAUGACGUCUCCAGUGCGUUAUCACUUACCUGUUGAUUCCCAGGUGCUGUAUCCGCUGCACCUGCAGCUUCCGGGUCCCACAGCCUAGUGUUCGCGCGUCUGCUGACGACCAUUGGCGCCUGGGAACCGGGAACCACACCUUAGCAUCGGCACUGCUUCGUUUGUUUUUCCAGGAAACUGCAGCCAGGCGAACUGUUUAAUUGUUCAGUAACGAAAUUUCCCUGAGGACCCAUCCAUUCUUCAAUGGAAAACACAAAUUAUGCCCUAAGAUUCUUUGAGUCCUUUAGCUCAAAAUCUUGCUGUUUGCACCAGUCCUGAAAACGCUGUUAUGGAAGAAUCACCUUAAAUCAAACUUGCACUUCUCCAUAAAUUCUGAAAUUUAUAAAAUUGCCUUCCUGUUUUCAGCCACCGUGAAAGCUUUGCGAGGUUGCAAUUUCCCUUACUGCUGCCAGUAGUAAACUCAGUCUUGUCUUACCAAUAAGUUGUGAAAGGACAAAUACAAACUUAAAAUAUGAGACAAUUUUUCCUAUUGAAAAUUAAUUUCUACCCCCUCAACCUUUGAGCAUUUAAACUUUAUUAAAAUUGAUAAUUAAGUA